CGCCCCGCCCAGCCCUGAGAGCGGCGCUUCCAGACCUCGUACGGCUCUCACCCCGCUAGGAGCCCGAAGGAGCUCUCCCGGGCGCACGUGGGCAGCAGGCGGGUCGGGGAGAACCGCGGGGGUGAGCGGCGAAUCCAGAGGCCCAGAUCUAGCGGAUUGUCAAUUCUGCGUUGGAGGCCGGCUUCCGGGAACAAUGAGACAAUGACGUCAGCGGGAACGCAGAUCCUGGACUUCUGCCAAAGACCGCUGCAUGGUCUCCGGUUAUAGUACAGAGCACUGACAUCAACACAGUCCUCUGCUGCAGUAUGGGCCACCCAUCACAUCCCUCUGUGGCAGUAUAGGACAUCAACAUGGUCUCCCCGGCAGUACAGCCCACAGACAUUACCAUGGCUUCAGGUGACAGCACAGACCACAAGCAUCCACAUGGCCUUCGAUGGCAACAUUGGCCAUGGACAUCAACAAGUCUCCAGACUGCAGCAGGACCACAGACCCAGACUUGGCCUCAGCAGCAGCACAGCCCACCAACAUCCACAAAGCUUUAGGUGGUGGCACAGACCACAGACAUCUACUGGCCUCAGGCAGUAACAAGAAUCUCCAAUGGCAGACAUCCGCAUGAAGUCAGGUUUCAAUAUGGUCUGGAGCAGUGGAUCAUGGGGUACCAACAUGGCCUCCAAGGACAGCAAAGACCACAGAGGUCUUCUGAAGAGGUCCAAUCCAGAAAAUCAAAUCAGAACCAGAGCGAUCGCGCAUGCGCAGCUUGUUUCCGGGCUGAGUCUUGUGUAAGCACCACACUGCAGCACACCAUCCCGUCGGUCCUACUCAGCAAAGACAUGUCUCCCCAUCCGCCGCAGCUUCCCUCAUACCUGCAUCGCUGUUACUGUCGUGUCUCUAGUUCCAUCUCCACCGAGCACUCACCAAUCUGUUCCUCCAUCUUUCUUGCCUCUACACUGCUAAUUUGUUCAUCAUGGUGGCAUUGGAAACUGCACUGUGUCACACAGUAUAUUUUUGCCCAAACAGCUUUACAUGAAAAUAUUCAUUGCCAGGUCGGUCUGGUUCAAGGUUUCUGGAUUCUGAAGCACCACAAAUACGGGACCAUCACUAAG
ensembl:lncRNA